GGGCCCGCACAAGCGGUGGAGCAUGUGGUUUAAUUCGAUGAUACGCGAGGAACCUUACCAGGGCUUAAAUGUAAGUUGCAUUAGUUAGAGAUAGCUAUUUCUUCGGACUACUUACAAGGUGCUGCAUGGUUGUCGUCAGCUCGUGCCGUGAGGUGUCAGGUUAAGUCCUAUAACGAGCGCAACCCCUGUUGUUAGUUGCCAUCGAGUCAUGUCGGGAACUCUAACAAGACUGCCGGUGCAAACCGUGAGGAAGGUGGGGAUGACGUCAAAUCAUCACGGCCCUUACGUCCUGGGCUACACACGUGCUACAAUGGUCGGUACAGAAAGCAGCCACUAUGCGAAUAGGAGCGAAUCUAUAAAACCGGUCUCAGUUCGGAUCGGAGUCUGCAACUCGACUCCGUGAAGCUGGAAUC
rnacentral:rRNA from 1 species